UACGUAGGGUGCAAGCGUUGUCCGGAAUUAUUGGGCGUAAAGAGCUCGUAGGCGGCCUGUUGCGUCCGCUGUGAAAACCCGCAGCUCAACUGUGGGCUUGCAGCUGAUACGGGCAGGCUUGAGUUCGGUAGGGGAGACUGGAAUUCCUGGUGUAGCGGUGAAAUGCGCAGAUAUCAGGAGGAACACCAGUGGCGAAGGCGGCUCGCUGGGCCGGACCUGACGCUGAGACGCGAAGGCGUGGGGAGCGAACGGG
rnacentral:rRNA from 1 species